CCCUUCAAGAUAUAUGCAAAUAGAUGAAUGAAAAUGUUUAGAUUGUUUUGAGAUCUAUAUAAGAAGCGAUUAAAUAUUUAACAUCAUGAAAGAAGAUUAAUCAUAUUUUGCACGAACGAUCCAAACCCUAUGGUCCGAUCCCAUCUGAUCAUAUGGGAACUGCUCUCGUGGAGCAAACCAUCAUCUCCUGGCCAUUCUGAAAAUUUAAAUCUGUUUUAUUCGUUCCUGCAUGCCCUUCAGCUCAUUUCAGCACUAAUCGUAACAUUUGAAUGCUUAAUAUUUUAAACUUUUAUCAUG
rnacentral:lncRNA from 1 species